CCCAUUAAAGUGGUACGCGAGCUGGGUUCAGAACGUCGGGAGACAGUUCGGUCCCUAUCCGGCGCAGGCGUAGGAAAUUUGAGAAGACCUGUCCUUAGUACGAGAGGACCGGGAUGGACGUACCUCUGGUGUACCAGUUGUCCUGCCAAGGGCAUGGCUGGGUAGAUAUGUACGGAAUGGAUAAGCGCUGAAAGCAUCUAAGCGCGAAGCCAACUUCAAGAUAAGAUUUCCCACCGCAAGGGUAAGACCCCAGAAAGACUAUCUGGUUGAUAGGUCGAAGGUGUAAGUUCAGC
rnacentral:rRNA from 1 species